CAUUCAGACCUAGUUUUUGAACGCUGUAGUCUUCUAACUCCCAGGUUCAUUUCAAUUUUUCACGUUUUCCUUCCUCCCUGCCUUCUCUCUCCGUUGAAGAUGUCACGUCCUCCGCUGUCACCGCCGCCGCGGCUCGCAUCGCACGAGCUCCCUCCGUCGCCCUCAUCGCGUUUGCUCCCUUCGUUGCCAUCGUCGUACGACCUCUCUCCGCCGUGCUCUUGUCUUACGAGCUCCUUCCGCGCCGCUCUCGUCACUGCUUCUUCUCUCCUCGCCGGAGGUUUGUCAUCAUCUCUUUUCGUCGCCGUUAGUUCAGAGUGGGUUAGAAAGUGAGAGAGCUUAGAAGAAGAGAAAUGCAAUUUGAAAUUGUUAGAAGAAGGUGCACCCCAACAGGUAAAAUGUAUAGAGUAAGCAAAGUUAAUUAAUUAAUUAUUGUAAUUAAGUAAUGGUUGCUUCUCUUCACCAAGACGUGAUACUUUUUCAGCCGGUCUAAGAGUCCUUGUUGUUGAUGAUGACCCAACAUGGCUUAGGAUCCUUGAAAAGAUGCUCAAAAUUGUUCCUAUGAAGCCAUGAGUAUUAACUGUCGUUUUGCUUGGGAGCUGAGAUUGAUUUGAGGUCACAUCCAUGUAUUUGUUCUUGGUUUUGCUUUGACGAUUGACAACCCCCAAGAAAUUACCCAUUCGUGGAGACUAAAUUUUCUGUUCCCCUAUGAAAGUUUGAUUUCAUGUUUAUUGCAUUGAUUUGGAAGUUUGAUUUUGCACCCUUUAUGGUGUUGAUCAUUGCCAUACUAAAUGAUGGUACCAUUAUGACAAUAUCUAAGGAUAGAGUGAAACCAUUCCCACAACCUGAUAGCUGGAAAUUGAAGCGAUAUUUGCUACUGGUAUUGGAUUGUUGUGUGAUUUUUCUGGCUUAUGAAAGACACUGACUUCUUCUCGGAGCUAUUAACAAGGCACAAAUCCACCGUCUCUGAAUUUCUUUCCAAGAAUUAUGAUUGGUUUUUUGAAGAGUACAAUACUCGAUUGCUAGAAUCUAACAGUUAUUUCACUAGACGACUUGCCAUUAAGUUAUUGGCGGAUAUGUUACUGGAUCGCUCCAAUUCUGCUACAAUGGUUCGGUAUGUGGCCGAGUAUUACUCUCCUCGAGCAAAGGAACGGUGGUGCUUGUCUUUGUAUAAUAAUGUUAGGCAUCAUGCACUUGGUGUUUUCCCUUAGGCAUCUA